UACGGGGGGGGCAAGCGUUGUUCGGAAUUACUGGGCGUAAAGGGCUCGUAGGCGGCCAACUAAGUCGGAUGUGAAAUCCCCAGGCUCAACUUGGGAACUGCAUCCGAUACUGGAUGGCUUGAGUGCAGGAGAGGAACGCGGAAUUCCAGGUGUAGCGGUGAAAUGCGUAGAUAUCUGGAGGAACACCGGUGGCGAAGGCGGCGUUCUGGACUGCUACUGACACUGAGGAACGAAAGCCAGGGGAGCAAACGGG
rnacentral:rRNA from 1 species